rnacentral:lncRNA from 1 species
CAUGGUCUUGAUCACUCUUUGUUGUUGAAUAUGAGAGAAAUAUAGAGCUAAGCGAGGACGAGAAUAAGGCAAUGGACCUAAUACUUUUCCUGCCCGCUGAGCUGAGGUUCGCCGAGAGGUUGCUAACACCCAAAAGGCUCAAGAAAGUCAGAUUGUUGACUAUGUCUUCAAGUAAGUGAUGUAUCGUAAUCGUGCGUGUGUUGUUUUCGCUAUAUUUUCUUUCUUCUAUUUUUUUCCAUAUCUAACCAAAUUGCUUGUCGGGGAUGAGGCCUAUUUGUAAUGACCUCGAGGCUCGGCCCAGGCUGAAAAGGAUGGCAUGUAUGAAACCCAUCCCCUUGUGACCGAGCAGAUUUGAAGUGAUGGAUUGGACUGAUAAAAUGGCAUAUGACAAGCCUCUAGGUCCCAAUGGUGGGUUUGACUUCCAAGCGUUCACUCAAAGGGAUCAAAGUGCAAUGGCCGACCUUCCCUAUAGUCGAGAGAGGGCUAAGAGGCGAUCCCAAGACCAUAUGGGUCAGGGUUCGGGGAAGAGGGGGAGUUGAGUACUUUGGCGGCCCGACGGCCAUGACAUAGAUGUGGGGACAACAAAGCCUUGAGAGCUUUUAAGUGGGCUUGUCGUGUCAAGUUUGUAAAUGUGUUAAGAUUGCUCAACCCAAACUUGACCCGUUUAAUAAAAGUGUCGUGUCAAAUUGACCCGCUAAUUUCUAGUAUGGGUUUUGAGUCGUGUAUCAGGUUGACCUGCAAAGCAGUAGCAAAUAAUAACUAGCGAGGUAAAAAAUGUAGACAAAAAAAGAAGUAGAGAAAGAGAUGACUAUUCAAAGAAUUUUCCAUUAUCACAAUAAUGUGAGAAUUGGUUAUGAUGAAAAAGAUAUAUGUGUAAAUUACUAAAGACAAAUAAUAAUAAAAAAAAAACAAAGAUCCACAUCUCAAAUUCACAAGAUCAUAAAUAAAAAAAAUAAAAAACAAAAACCCUAAAUUUUGAUAAUUUAAUCGACUUUUUUUAUAUAUAAAAAUAGUGAUUACAUUUUGCCUCUAUGUAUGUAUGAGAUUGAGAAAGAUAAAUAAUAAAAAAUUAAAAAAAUGAAGAAAAUGAAGAAGAAAUCAAGAAACGGGUUAACAGGUUGGCAUGUAUUACAAGGGAUGAUAUGACCCUUUUAAAAAACGGGUUACAUAGUAUUUUAGUAAGUUGGCCGGUUGACCCGAAAUUCAACCGUUUCUUAAACGGGUAAUGGGGGGUUGAUUCAAAAAUUUAAUCGUGCGGGUUGACCUGCUAAUUUUCCAUGUGGGUUUCGAGUCUUGUAACGGGCUGUAUCAGAAAUUACCACCCCUACUGACUUUUGACCCAAAAGCAAGAAACAUUAUAAUUUUCAUGAUUGCCAACGAAGUUAACUCAUAUUCACAACCCGGAGCAGGACCACUUGGGCUAGCAGCAAAGAAGAAGAAUUAAAAGAAAUGGUGAAAAGAGUGGUAAAAAUGGAAGGCAAACAUGAUAUUCAUAUAGUCCUUCACUUUACCACACAAGAGUAAUGGACUGGACACACCAUCGUACCAUAAAAAUGCAAACAUAAUAGACAGAACCUGCAGACACGCAC